UACGUAGGGUGCGAGCGUUUAAUCGGAAUUACUGGGCGUAAAGCGUGCGCAGGCGGUGAUGUAAGACAGUUGUGAAAUCCCCGGGCUCAACCUGGGAACUGCAUCUGUGACUGCAUCGCUGGAGUACGGUAGAGGGGAUGGAAUUCCGCGUGUAGCAGUGAAAUGCGUAGAUAUGCGGAGGAACACCGAUGGCGAAGGCAAUCCCCUGGACCUGUACUGACGCUCAUGCACCGAAAGCGUGGGGAGCAAACAGG
rnacentral:rRNA from 1 species